GGUGGACACAGUGUCACGUGUGCUGCUGAUUAAGCCUCUGGGGUUUUCUGGCCUAGGAGCAGCUGGAGCUUUCCCCUGGGAAGAGGGAGCUGGCAGGGAAGCUGACGGAUCCACAGUAGGCCUCAGCCUAACGCAGGCCACAUCCCGAACUGGAGUUAUACUCCAGUAAAGAUGUGAAAAAAACAAAGAGGCAACGAAUGAAUGAAUGAAGCCAAAGAUGCUUCAAUGCCCGACUCUUCCUCCCCUGACUCUCAUAACGGGCACAUCUGGAGGCCCACCCCUCUGCGCGUCCCGGAGAAGCCAGCCAAGCGGCAGCGUUUGGAUGGUGGUUCUGAAGAGCAGCGUCCGGAGGACGUUAAUCCGUGUUCUGUGACAAAUAAGCCACGAUAAUGGAGCCCCUGCUGUGUUCCCUGCUGGGGGCUCAGCUCCCACCCAGAACCCAGUGGGCACUCAAUAAAGAAUCAAAGAUCCAA